rnacentral:lncRNA from 1 species
GGAAAGCCAAGAGCACCUGUAGUGUUCUGGAGGUAGCUGCACACUGACAUCCCUUCACACCCAGUGGCCUCUUGUGAAAGAGAAGGCAAUGCAAUGCCGUCGGAGACAAAGCCCAGCUGAAGAGAGGCAGUGCACUUGCUGAUGGAUACUAAAUGAAAAGCAGGCAGAAAUCAGCAAUGCAUCCAGCUUCUGUUGAGGGAGAUUCAGUGGAAUGAUUUUUAUAUUUUCAUGAAGAAAUUACAGUUGAAUAUUAAAACCUGGUAUUUCAGUUUAUCUGGUCUGACUCCCAUCUAACUAACCAACAUAGCCAUGGAUUUUGUAAAACUCACUUAGCAAAUCAUCUUAAUUGGUACCAAAAAAGUGAUGGCUAUGGAAAUAUUGGCAUUUCUAUGUGCAUAACUGAUGUUUUUAUGAGGAUAAGAGGGAGAGAAGAAUCACAUUUCAAAGAAGCUUCUACUGAAAUAAACUAACCAGAAGAACUAAUUGUGGCAUACUUAACAGCUUUGAGCUUUAUGUGUACACUACCUAUGUUUCCUGUUCAGCAAGUGAAUGUCCCCAGGCCGGUAGGGGCAAUGUGAAGAUGAAUCUUAUAUCUCCAAUUUCUCGAAGAACAUUUAUUCAUCUUCCUGGAAUUCACUCAUUGCCAGUUCUUUUAGAAAUACUGACACAGUUAAUAGUGUCUAAUGUCGUGGAUGACUGCCUUCCACCGAUGUCGUGACUUCCCACCCAAGAACCAAUGACUUCUUUCUCUGUGAUUCAGCUCUCCACUGACCCUCAUGGGCAAGAGUGGGGUUUCAGCAAUUAUUCUUUCAACCUCUAUUGAUUAAUCACACGAUAUAAGCCAGACACAGUUCUGGGCAGCAGGAUACAAUAGUGAACAAGACAACCCCAAAUCCCUGCUCUUGUGGAACUGACAUUUUCUCAUGGGGUGUGGGGGUUGGGGAAGAAUGAGAGAUGUUAAAUGCAAAACCAAAAUAAAAGAAAUUUUAAGAUCAUGUGAUAGGGAGUGGCUGGCUGGUCAGGGAUAGCCUCUCCAGGACUGGGACAUUCAUGGGAGUUGACAUGUGAAUUAUGAGAAGAAGCCGACAAUGCCAAGAUCACAUGGCAACACGUUUCAUGCAAAAGAAACAGCCAGCAUGAAGCCUGUGAGCUGGGAACAAGACCGGCUCAGGUCAAGGGACAGACAAAAAGGCCAACAAGGCUGAAAAAGAAUAAGGAAGAGGAGAGGGGUGUGAGGUUCAGCAGGAAAGAUCUGAAGGACUGGGUCAGACAGGGUUCUUCAGGACAUGGAAAAGAAUUUGAAUUUUUUAAAUAAAUGCAAUGAGAAGACACUGGAGAA